rnacentral:rRNA from 1 species
AUGCCGCGCCGCCCGAGGGCCUCCCGCGGCGGCAGCGGCGGCGAGGAGGUGAAGAUGGAGGACUUCGUGGAGUCGAUGCUGAACCUGGGCGGCGGCGGCGAGGGCGAGGAGAGCGAGGAGGGGGAGCAGCUGCCGGCGGCGGACGCCACGCAGUACAAGUCCAAGAACCUGGACGCCGAGCGCCGGAGGAGGGGCAGGCUCAACACCAACAUCCUCAAGCUCAGGGCCGUCGUGCCCAACAUCACAAAGAUGAGCAAGGAGUCCACCCUGGCCGACGCCAUCGGUCACAUCAAGAAGCUCCAGAACCAGGUCCUCGAGCUGCAGAGCCAGCUCGCCGACUCGCCCGGCGAGGCCUGGGAGAAGCAAGGCAGCGCCUCCUGUUCCGAAUCCCUCGCCCCCACCGACAACAUCCAUUAUCAGGGUCAGGUGGAGCUGAUACCUCUGGGGUCUUGUAAGUACAACCUCAAGAUCUUCUGGACCAAAAGGGCAGGCCUCUUCACCAAGGUGCUGGAGGCACUCUGCAACUACAAUGUGCAGGUGCUUAGCCUCAACACCAUCACCUACUAUGGCUAUGCAGAGAGUUUCUUCUGCAUUGAGGUUAAGGGUGAGCAGGAUGUUGUGAUGGUGGAGCUAAGGGACCUCCUGUCCAGUAUUGUGGAGGUUCCAAGCAUUUGA